rnacentral:rRNA from 1 species
GAUUAACGCUGGCGGCGUGCCUAACACAUGCAAGUCGAACGAGGUAGCAAUACCUAGUGGCAGACGGGUGAGUAACGCGUGGUCAACCUACCGUUGAGUGGGGGAUAACUAGCCGAAAGGUUAGCUAAUACCGCAUACGUCUCCGAGUGGCAUCACUUGGCGAUAAAAGGAGCAAUCCGCUCGAUGACGGGACCGCGUCCCAUUAGCUAGAUGGUGGGGUAACGGCCUACCANGGCACCGAUGGGUAGCUGGUUUGAGAGAGCGACCAGCCACACUGGGACUGAGAAACGGCCCAGACUCCUACGGGAGGCAGCAGUGAGGGAUUUUCCGCAAUGGGCGCAAGCCUGACGGAGCGACGCCGCGUGUGGGAAGAAGGCCUC